UGGUUCUGGCAUCGAUGAAGAACGCAGCGAAAUGCGAUAAGUAAUGUGAAUUGCAGAAUUCAGUGAAUCAUCGAAUCUUUGAACGCACAUUGCGCCCCUCGGCAUUCCGGGGGGCAUGCCUGUCCGAGCGUCAUGCGUCCCCUCAAGCCCAGCUUGGUCCUGGGCCCUGCCCGUGGCGGCGGGCCCCAAAGACAGUGGUGGCACCGCGGGCGCCCGAGCGUAGUAGAAAAAAGUCUCGCUUCGGGCCCCUCGCGGGCGCUGAUCCAGCAACCCCCUCCAGAAGGUAGACCUCGGAUCAGGUAGGAGUACCCGCUGA
rnacentral:misc_RNA from 1 species